rnacentral:misc_RNA from 1 species
AAGUCGUAACAAGGUUUCCGUAGGUGAACCUGCGGAAGGAUCAUUAACACUUUUGCAUUUUAUUGGAAAAUUCAAUUUUUUCAAUAAUUUACUUUACCCACAUUUUUGGAUGAAUUAUUUCUUUAUUAACCCUUUAUAAUUUUUAUACCCCAAAAACAAAACUAAUACUAUUUCUAACAUUUAUUUUUAAGAAAAACAUAAAAAACAACUCUUAACAACGGAUAUCUAGGCUCUC